rnacentral:rRNA from 1 species
UACGGAGGGCGCUAGCGUUGUUCGGAAUUACUGGGCGUAAAGCGCACGUAGGCGGCUCUGUAAGUUGGGGGUGAAAUCCCGAGGCUCAACCUCGGAAUUGCCUUCAAGACUGCAGGGCUUGAGUUCGAGAGAGGUGAGUGGAAUUCCCAGUGUAGAGGUGAAAUUCGUAGAGAUUGGGAAGAACACCAGUGGCGAAGGCGGCUCACUGGCCCGUAACUGACGCUGAUGUGCGAAAGCGUGGGGAGCAAACAGG